AUGUGUAUUCACAUAGCACAUCUCUAUAUGAAACUCUGCAUAUACACAUACACAUGCACAUAUAUACAUAUGUACUCACAUAUUUGUGUGUGUGUGUGUGUGUGUAAGUGACAGUCAGACUUCCAUGAUCUAAGAUACUAUGGCACGAGUUAAAAUAUUCCCAGGAAUUUGCUUUUGAUAACAGCAAAAAUUCACAGCCAGUCAUUCUAAUUCACUCUCCACCCCCCAAUCUCACACUGUUGUACUAGAAACUAAAUAUAUAAGCAUAUUUAUAUUUCAGAGAUGAAGCAAAUUUACCUGAUUAAAAUUUAACAGCUUACAUAAAUAUUUAAUAUAAUAAUGCUUACAUUAAAGGUUUUUCUAUCUCAGUUUGCAACAUAUUAAAUAGGAAAAAAACCUCUAAAAAAUAUUCAGGUCUACAUUUCUAAAAAUAAUUCUUUGCAAAGAGGAUUAAAAUAAUUUCCCGUUUCUUUGCAAAAGAAGAAUUUAUUAUCCUUUAAAGUUUGCUAUUUUAUUCAUAUUUCUUUUUGUAGAUUUCAAGUUUGCAAAAGCACCACACACAACAUGUUCAUGGUCCUUUAUUUUUAUUUUUAUUUUAUUUUAGGGAUAGUCUAUAUUCCGCAUUAUUACGUGAGGAAAAGUAAGCCAAGAAGACUGUAGCUGCUGAUAUUUGGAACAAGGUAUCAGUGACUAUUUAAACGAAGUGAGCAUCUCGAUACAUGAGCUAACAAGGAAGUAGCCAUUAUUGGGAAUAAUAUACUAAUCACAUUCCCAUUUAUAACCUCUUAUCAACCACAUCAUUUUUCUGAAGCUACAUCUGAGUUGAUUAAACAAAUCAAAAUGUCAUUAGAAAUUUCUCCCAGGUUCUUUUACAUCUGCAAGUCUUAACCAUGUUUAGUACUUCUCAGAAAUUGCUUUCUGUUUUGGGGAGCACUGACUUUAUUCAGAUGAUGGUUUGCUGAUCAAUUAUUAGAUCAAAGUUUAGUUGCUUCAUACCAUUUCCCCUUUUCUUGGAUCAGUUCUUCUAAUGCCCUUUAUUUUGUUCUUCAGCACUAUCAUUGUCUGAAUAAGUAGUAGAACCUAAAGUAAUGGAACUGAAAGAAAUAUCGAUAAUUAUUUUCUUAAAGCCUCACGUUGCACAGAAACCAUGCAAAUCUAGUAAUUGUCCAGUAUUUAUCAAAUGAGCACCUGUCCCAGGAUAUGUCAAUAAGAUCUAUAAUGAAAGAAUUUUGUGGUGCAAUUGCUUCUUGGAGAUUUGCAAUGCAUAAUAAUUUACUGAAGGCUCUAAGAAACCCUGAACAAGGAAAUCAGUCUUUGUUUAAUCCAAUUUUUCUCAAAUUUAUUGGCCAUGGAAAUCAUUUACUCGAUCAGGAACCUUUGAAAUGCUGUGGUCUCAUCAAAUACGGGUAUCUGCAAUCUUCCUUAUACUGUGCUGCCAUUCCUGUUUAUCAUGUGUGUGACUUGACUAUUGACCUAGUCUGAUAUUUAUCACGUCCAGCUGGCCUCGUUCACCCCCGUUCCAUCACUACUGCUGGAAUGACAUCCCUGCUGGUCACUGACAUCUCAUUUCAAAUAUCAUCAGCAGUCUUCUUGGCUUGUGAAAAAUGGAAAAAUAUGGGAAAUGACUAAAACUAUGACUCCCAUCUGCUUUUGCUGUCACACUGUCACUUCAGACUGUUUGUCACCGAGAACGUGAUGAGCAUACUCUGGCUGUGAAUUAGAAGGGCCUGGUCCUGCACUCCCAACCUACUAACCAUCUGGGACAGGCGGUGGAGGAGGAAAUUAUUUUAAGCAUGAGUUUUAAGAACCAAAGAAACUGGAGAAGGAAUAAAAAUAGCAUUAACAUAUGACAAUUUGGAAGGGAAGUGGGAAAAUGCCAAAAAUCAGAGGUUGUCAACCAAGAGAAUUUUGGUUCCAAAAUAUAUUAAUUGCACCAAAGAAGAAUCGUUCCUCUAAGAGGUUCUGUGUUUGCAAUCCUCAAAAUCCUUACAUCUCUAAGUGAGAUCAGAGGACGAGCAGCGUCAGCGACAGUAGGGAGCUCUCACUGGAAAUGCAGCAUUCCGGGUGCAUCCCAGCCAGACCGAGCCAGAGUCUGCAUUUGACAAGACCCCCUAGGGGACCCAUGUGCACAUCCAAGGAUUCCAGUUGCCCUCUGAAUAACAUCUAGAGCUGAGUUAAUCUGUUUGUAAUUGGCUGAAGUUACAUGUGUGGGGUCAGAGACAGCCGGUUGCCUGUGACUAUCUGGCACCCCCUCCUCCUCAGUGACAGAUUCCUGGUUUGCUUCGAGGUGGCCUCGACCCUACAAUUAGC